GUGUCAGCAGCCGCGGUAAUACGUAUGGUGCGAACGUUGCUCGGAUUCACUGGGCCUAAAGGGUGCGUAGGCGGUUCGGUAAGUCCGAUGUGAAAUCCCCCGGCUCAACCGGGGAACUGCAUCGGAUACUGCCGGACUAGAGUGCAGGAGGGGAGAGUGGAAUUCCCGGUGGAGCGGUGAAAUGCGUAGAUAUCGGGAGGAACGCCGGUGGCGAAAGCGACUCUCUGGCCUGUUACUGACGCUGAGGCACGAGAGCUAGGGGAGCAAACGGGAUUAGAUACCCCGGUAGUCCUAGCCCUAAACGAUGGGCACUAGGUAGAGGAGGUUCCGAUGCCUUCUCUGCCGAAGCUAACGUGAUUAGUGCCCCGCCUGAGGAGUAUGCUCGCAAGGGUGAAACUUAAAGGAAUUGACGGGG
rnacentral:rRNA from 1 species